rnacentral:lncRNA from 1 species
GCAGACCGCUCGCAAGUCCACCGGCGGCAAAGCCCCGCGCAAGCAGCUCGCCACCAAGGCUGCCCGCAAGAGCGCCCCGGCCACCGGCGGCGUGAAGAAGCCCCACCGCUACCGUCCCGGCACCGUUGCUCUGCGCGAGAUCCGGCGCUACCAGAAGUCCACCGAGCUGCUGAUCCGCAAGCUGCCGUUCCAGCGCCUGGUGCGCGAAAUCGCGCAGGACUUCAAGACCGACCUUCGCUUCCAGAGCUCGGCGGUCAUGGCCCUUCAGGAGGCCAGCGAGGCCUACCUUGUGGGUCUGUUUGAGGACACCAAUCUGUGCGCCAUCCACGCCAAGCGUGUGACCAUCAUGCCCAAGGACAUCCAGCUGGCCCGCCGCAUUCGUGGCGAGAGGGCUUAAAUGAUUCUAUUCCUUCAUUUUCAAAAGGCUCUUUUAAGAGCCACCUAAAAUUUCAUGUAAAGUUGCUGUUUGCUCUGCCAUAGUGUACACAUGUAUUUCUAUAGUAGACCAGUUACAUAUCUAAGCUACUAUGUGUGUAUGUGUGUAUACAUAUGUAUAGUACAUAGUUUUCAUGAGUUAAAUUUUGCAACAAAAGCUUAUACUUUUAACAUUCCUUAAAUAUAGGUCUCCAUGAUUAACAGCAAUAUAGAGAUUUCUUUAGUCUCACUUUCUAAUGUUCCUAACUGCUGUCUAAUACUCAUGGUAAGACUGUAGCGUUUCCUAUACACUCUUAAGUUUCCUUUUUCAUUUAAUAAAAUUGAUCUUACUUUUCUGAU